GUGCUUUAAAAGCUGAGGUUCGUGUAUCAGGCAGGGUUUAAAUCCUAGCUCUUUCACUUAAACUGCAGCAGGUUACUUAAACUUCUCUCAGCUUCAAUUUUUUUCUUUUAAAUUUGGGGACAGUAAUAUCACCUGCCUCACAGAGGAGAAGAGAGGCUCAACUGAGAGAAUGCAGGUGAAGAAUUUAGCAAAGUUCUGGGCACCUCAUAAAUACCAUGGUGAUGAUGGCUGUGUCACAGUGGUUGAUGAAAAGUCCUCCCCUCUAUGAAGUUAGUUUGAAAGGGGAAGAUAAUCAAAAUUACCAGAAUCCAAGAAAAAAGGGUCCUACUACCUCGAUACCAGAGGUGAGCCAGGCAAGGCUUUCUGGUGAAACUAUCUAAACAACAUUAGUAAAACUAUCUAAACAACAUAGUACCUAAGUAACAAAAGGGAGAUAACUGAAUGAGACUAACACAUGAAUGAGCCCAGUAACUAUCAUAUAGAUUUUGAUAAAAUGUAAGAAAAGAGACCAGAUAUUUUUGAGCUUCUGAACAUCUGCAUUGUGACAGCAUCAGAUUAGAAGAAGCCUUCCGAAUGGAGUAGAAAUAUGAAGUUCACUGAGUAGUUACCAAAGGACAUGAUGAGACUGAAGAUGUCAGCAACAAAAGGCUAUACACAAUGAUAAAAAUGAGACAUACCCAAGUCUGAUCCAAGUGGACACAAGAUGAUUAAGGACAAGCCAUGCUUUUGAAUCAAUACUUGGAACUACCAUGGUUUCUUGGAACAUAAGUGUGCCCCACAAAGAGGGGUAGAGAAGGGAAACUCCAGAAUGAACCAAAGAAUCACUAAUCUGACUUACAUGCUGACAAAACAUUAAUUUCUAUCUUUGAUAUAAGUGUAAAUUUAAGACAAA
rnacentral:lncRNA from 1 species